rnacentral:rRNA from 1 species
AGCUUGCUAAAUAAUUCUCUAGUGGCGCACGGGUGAGUAACACGUGAGUAACCUGCCCCCGAGAGCGGGAUAGCCCUGGAAAACUGGGAUUAAUACCGCAUAGUAUCGAAAAGAUUAAAGCAGCAAUGCGCUUGGGGAUGGGCUCGCGGCCUAUUAGUUAGUUGGUGAGGUAACGGCUCACCAAGGCGAUGACGGGUAGCCGGUCUGAGAGGAUGUCCGGCCACACUGGAACUGAGACACGGUCCAGACACCUACGGGUGGCAGCAGUCGAGAAUCAUUCACAAUGGGGGAAACCCUGAUGGUGCGACGCCGCGUGGGGGAAUGAAGGUCUUCGGACUGUAAACCCCUGUCAUGUGGGAGCAAAUUAAAAAGAUAGUACCACAAGAGGAAGAGACGGCUAACUCUGUGCCAGCAGCCGCGGUAAUACAGAGGUCUCAAGCGUUGUUCGGAAUCACUGGGCGUAAAGCGUGCGUAGGCUGUUUCGUAAGUCGUGUGUGAAAGGCGCGGGCUCAACCCGCGGACGGCACAUGAUACUGCGAGACUAGAGUAAUGGAGGGGGAACCGGAAUUCUCGGUGUAGCAGAGAAAUGCGUAGAUAUCGAGAGGAACACUCGUGGCGAAGGCGGGUUCCUGGACAUUAACUGACGCUGAGGCACGAAGGCCAGGGGAGCGAAAGGGAUUAGAUACCCCUGUAGUCCUGGCAGUAAACGGUGCACGCUUGGUGUGCGGGGAAUCGACCCCCUGCGUGCCGGAGCUAACGCGUUAAGCGUGCCGCCUGGGGAGUACGGUCGCAAGAUUAAAACUCAAAGAAAUUGACGGGGACCCGCACAAGCGGUGGAGUAUGUGGCUUAAUUCGAUGCAACGCGAAGAACCUUACCUGGGCUUGACAUGUAAUGAACAACAUGUGAAAGCAUGCGACUCUUCGGAGGCGUUACACAGGUGCUGCAUGGCCGUCGUCAGCUCGUGUCGUGAGAUGUUUGGUUAAGUCCAGCAACGAGCGCAACCCCUGUUGCCAGUUACCAGCACGUGAAGGUGGGGACUCUGGCGAGACUGCCCAGAUCAACUGGGAGGAAGGUGGGGACGACGUCAGGUCAGUAUGGCCCUUAUGCCCAGGGCUGCACACGUACUACAAUGCCCAGUACAGAGGGGGCCGAAGCCGCGAGGCGGAGGAAAUCCUAAAAACUGGGCCCAGUUUGGACUGUAGGCUGCAACCCGCCUACACGAAGCCGGAAUCGCUAGUAAUGGCGCAUCAGCUACGGCGCCGUGAAUACGUUCCCGGGUCUUGCACACAACGCCCGUCA